rnacentral:tRNA from 1 species
GCCCUGAUAUCCCAAUGGCAGAGGAAAUGGUCUCAAACACCAUCAAGUGUGGGUUCGAAUCCCACUCAGGGCA